rnacentral:ncRNA from 1 species
GUCUUCGAGGAGCGUUGCGACGGAUGUCACCCAUCCGCCAGGCUCGAAGGCGCUCAAUACGGUCGCUUCCCGGUUUCAUGCCGCAGUCGCACCGCACUGAAAAACGGCGCUCACGUCUU